rnacentral:rRNA from 1 species
GGCUCAGAACGAACGCUGGCGGCGUGCCUAACACAUGCAAGUCGAGCGAGAAAGCCCGCAAGGGUGAGUAAAGCGGCGCACGGGUGCGUAACACGUGGGUAAUCUUCCUUGGAGCCCGGAAUAACUCCCCGAAAGGGGUGCUAAUGCCGGAUGAGACCACGGGAUCCCCGGAUCCUGAGGGAAAAGGCGGCCUCUGUACACAAGCUGUCACUCCAAGAUGAGCCCGCGGCCCAUCAGCUAGUUGGCGGGGUAAUGGCCCACCAAGGCUACGACGGGUAGCUGGUCUGAGAGGACGAUCAGCCACACUGGAACUGAGACACGGUCCAGACUCCUACGGGAGGCAGCAGUGGGGAAUCUUGCGCAAUGGGCGAAAGCCUGACGCAGCAACGCCGCGUGUGUGAUGAAGGUCUUCGGAUCGUAAAGCACUGUCGGGAGGGACGAAUAAGGCGGCGGCUAACAUCCGCAGCCGAUGACGGUACCUCCAAAGGAAGCACCGGCUAACUCUGUGCCAGCAGCCGCGGUAAUACAGAGGGUGCUAGCGUUGUUCGGAAUUAUUGGGCGUAAAGCGCGUGUAGGCGGCCUUGCAAGUUGGGUGUGAAAGCCCUCGGCUUAACCGAGGAAGUGCGCCCAAAACUACAGGGCUUGAGUACCGGAGAGGGUGGCGGAAUUCCCGGUGUAGAGGUGAAAUUCGUAGAUAUCGGGAGGAACACCAGUGGCGAAGGCGGCCACCUGGACGGAUACUGACGCUGAGACGCGAAAGCGUGGGUGGCAAACAGGAUUAGAUACCCUGGUAGUCCACGCUGUAAACGAUGAGCGCUAGGUGUUGUGGGUGUUGACCCCCGCAGUGCCGCAGCUAACGCAUUAAGCGCUCCGCCUGGGAAGUACGGCCCGCAGGCUAAA